rnacentral:rRNA from 1 species
UACGUAGGGGGCAAGCGUUGUCCGGAAUCACUGGGCGUAAAGCGCACGUAGGCGGAUCUUUAAGUCAGGGGUGAAAUCCUGGAGCUCAACUCCAGAACUGCCUUUGAUACUGGGGAUCUCGAGUCCGGGAGAGGUGAGUGGAACUGCGAGUGUAGAGGUGAAAUUCGUAGAUAUUCGCAAGAACACCAGUGGCGAAGGCGGCUCACUGGCCCGGUACUGACGCUGAGGUGCGAAAGCGUGGGGAGCAAACAGG